GUAGAUUACAAUUCAAUUUUUCUGACCCAUCUAUAGGUUAAUCAAAACUUGGAUGGAAUGUUGAUUUCUUUAAACAUGACCAAAUCAUGAAAACAUUUUUUCACACUAUGUUUCAUUUUUUUCAAAAUUGGUAACCUAUUGAUUAUUAAAUACGUCAACUGAAUUGUGCAUUCAAGUUUCCUAACUUUCAUCUCUUGCUUUCUCACUUAUUUUUGUGUCUGCCAAGAGGAUCCCCUUAUAAAUGAGAAUACAUUUUUUUAUACACAGUGGGACUAUCUUAUACAAAUGAAAGGAUCAGAGUAAAUCAUUUUUACAGUGCAUACUGAACAAGUAAAGUUAUUCUAAGAAAUGAAAGCUUUAGGUUUCCAAACAGUACUGGCACAAGUGCAACUGGAGAAAGCAACAAUAAUCAACAAGUAAUAAGUUAUGUUCUUUCCUGAGAACACUGUUUUUAAUCAGCUGAUUCGCCUUGUCUGAGUUGUUACCCUAUCCUUAAUUAAACAUCCUUGGGUAGUAUUUCUACUCAAAAAACAACUGUUUUAAGUUCUUUGUCUGCACUAUGAAUGUCAGUGUCGAAGGGCUAACAGAUUAGUCCAUAGCAACUUAGAAAAAAGGGAUGAAUAGGGAACAGCAUUGGAGAGUGUAUGUCAAAUGAAUUAGGGCAGUAGUUUAGUGAGCCAAUGUGCCAAUUUAGAAAUGGAUUCUUCUUCCUGCUGAAGAGCUCUUUUUAAAAUAAAUUACAAUCAUAAAGCUGCCACAGUUUACUGUGCAUAGACAUGUUCAGAAUUGGCUCUUCUUCAUGAGGGCUGCUUGGUGCAGGUAUUUAAGCUACUGCCAAUAAGGCUAACAGCUCAUCAAAUAGAAAAUAUGCUACAGGAAAAUACAUGGGUUAAGAAAAACAGUUAAAUACCGUGCUGUUAUUUUGUAUGUCUGUUUCAGCUUUUCUCUCAAACAAGUUGACUUAUGUAAAUUGUUUUUUAAAAAUAAACUCUAAAAGCCUUGAAAAUAGUGCAGUCUUAAAAGUAGUAUUGAUUUUAGUCAAUGCUAAAAACACUUUCAGGGGAAUAAAAUGAGAAACCACAUGAACAAGUUUGCCACCAAUAGUGGCAACAGUGUAUGUCAUGGAUUUAAGAGAGUCUCAGAUAAAAACAAAUCCUCUGGUGUAUAUGUGUGUGUGCAAAUUUAAAGAGUAUACUUUCACACUAGAGGGUAUUCUUUCUACUUGCUUCUAUUGAAGCAUACUAGCUUUUAUAACACAUAUCGAGAUGGCAAAUCCAGCUUUGUAUCAUCCAAAAUGUUGAAGAAAUUAUCAGAUUGCGUUUUUCUAUGGUUUUGUAUAGUACCUCCUAUGGAAGAUUGUAAGGAACAAGAGCCUAUUAUGGACAACAAUAUUUCUCUGGUGCCUUUUGAGAGACCUGCUGUCAUAGAGAAGCUCACGGGGAAUAUGGGAAAACGUAAAAGCUCCACUCCACAAAAGUUUGUGGGGGAAAAGCUCAUGCGAUUCAGCUACCCAGAUAUUCACUUUGAUAUGAACUUAACAUAUGAGAAGGAGGCUGAGCUGAUGCAGUCUCAUAUGAUGGACCAAGCCAUCAACAAUGCAAUCACCUACCUUGGAGCUGAGGCCCUUCACCCUCUGAUGCAGCACCCGCCAAGCACAAUCGCUGAAGUGGCCCCAGUUAUAAGCUCAGCUUAUUCUCAGGUCUAUCAUCCAAAUAGGAUAGAAAGACCCAUUAGCAGGGAAACUGCUGAUAGUCAUGAAAACAACAUGGAUGGCCCCAUCUCUCUCAUCAGACCAAAGAGUCGACCCCAGGAAAGAGAGGCUUCUCCCAGCAAUAGCUGCCUGGAUUCCACUGACUCAGAAAGCAGCCAUGAUGACCACCAGUCCUACCAAGGAAACCCUGCCUUAAAUCCCAAGAGGAAACAAAGCCCAGCUUACAUGAAGGAGGAUGUCAAAGCUUUGGAUACUACCAAGGCUCCUAAGGGCUCUCUGAAGGACAUCUACAAGGUCUUCAAUGGAGAAGGAGAACAGAUUAGGGCCUUCAAGUGUGAGCACUGCCGAGUCCUUUUCCUAGACCAUGUCAUGUACACCAUUCACAUGGGUUGCCAUGGCUACCGGGACCCACUGGAAUGCAACAUCUGUGGCUACAGAAGCCAGGACCGUUAUGAGUUUUCAUCACACAUUGUUCGAGGGGAGCACACAUUCCACUAGGCCUUUUCAUUCCAAAGGGGACCCCUAUGAAGUAAAGAACUGCACAUGAAGAAAUACUGCACUUACAAUCCCACCUUCCCUCAAAUGUUGACAUACCUUUUAUUUUUUUUUAAUAUUAUUACUGUCGAUAAUUCUUAUUUUGUGGAGGCAGUGUCAUUUGCUCUGCCUAAUUACGAUAAGGAAGAAACAGAAGAGAGAAGAGACGGGAAUAUUGUUUCUUUAUCACCUGGCUUGUUUAUUUUGUGGGAAUUUAAGAGCAGUCCAUUUCUACCAAGGCAUAUCAUGCUUUGAAAAAUCACUUGAUUCAUAAAGAUUCACCUAGGAGAUUCUGAUUUGCCACUGAUAUUCAGGAUUAUGAUGGAAGACAGGAAAGUUUAGACUUUUCUGGGUAGGACUUUGGUGGUUUAAAAAUGGUAUAAGUAACUUUAUUCUUGAAAGAAGAAUGUGUUUCAAACUGUAAACCAAUUUUUUGUUCUUCAGAGAUCAUGGAACACAAACACAUUGUUAUUUUCAGUGAUAACUCCUAAGAGGAGCUGAGUUGUUGUGGGUUCUAUGUUUACUUCCCCUAUGGAAUUAAUAAUUCAGUAUGUUUUACACUGUACCAUAUAGCAAAACUUUUAAACUACAGGUAGUUAAGGGCCACCUACAAUACAUCUGAGGUCCUGUGAUCUUAUUUUUCUAAACGUAAGCACUGUUUUUCCAUAGUUUUGAUGACUGGCAUUUUAUAGACACCCUGGCAGCCUUACUUUUAACACCUUUAAGGAAUAGUAUUUUUAUGUAGUUUUCAGAAUAACAUAUGGUCUAAGAGUGGAUAAAAGGCAGUCAAUAACUUCUGGGAGGGACUUCUACUUUCAUAAAUUUGUUUGAGAGGUUUUCCUUUAAAGUUGUAAUGUGAUGGCAGCAUAGUAUAUGUAUUUGUUUCUAAAAGUAUGCUUACGAUUGUCACUUUAUCAGCAUUUAAUCAGUGUUAACCAGUCAGCAGAAAAAUAUAAUUAUGCUAACAGUAGGGGGAGAAAACCCACUUAGAAAUCCCUUUUCUGGUAUUUCUCUUUUCACUAGUUUUUUUCAAGAUGUGACCUCCCAGUGUUCUGUCCACAGUUCAUUCAUCCUUUACUCUUUAAGUAGAAGGUCUUAAAAGUCUUGCUGUCGGCUAUUUCUUUCAAAAUCUCCUCAGAGCAAUUGCUAAUUUGACCUGAAUCUGGUAACUUGAACCCUGUAAGGUUAUAGAACUAGGGCUAUUUAUUUUAGCAUUUCUUCAGUAGUAUUUACUACUCUUGCUGCAAAGAAAAGGGAAUGGGACUUCUUUGUAACCUGUACCUUGG
rnacentral:sRNA from 1 species